rnacentral:rRNA from 1 species
UAGUGAGUUUGAUCCUGGCUCAGAACGAACGCUGGCGGCAGGCCUAACACAUGCAAGUCGAACGGGAUCUUCGGAUCUAGUGGCGGACGGGUGAGUAACGCGUGGGAACGUGCCCUUUGGUUCGGAAUAGCCCUGGGAAACUGGGAGUAAAUACCGGAUACGGUCGAGAGACGAAAGAUUUAUCGCCGAAGGAUCGGCCCGCGUUGGAUUAGGUAGUUGGUGGGGUAAUGGCCCACCAAGGCGACGAUGCAUAGCCGACCUGAGAGGGUGAUCGGCCACACUGGGGACUGAGACACGGCCCAGACUCCGUACGGGAGGCAGCAGGUGGGGGAAUUUUUCCGCAAUGGGGCGAAACGCCUGACGCAGCAACGCCGCGUGCGGG